rnacentral:rRNA from 1 species
AGUGGAUGGGGAGCAACCUAGUUGUGCGUGUGUAAAGGUAGUGCCAAGAAAAGCGAUGAUCAUGUUGAAAAUCAAUUCCCGGUACCCGAAACCGACACAGGUGGGCAAGUAGAGAAUACUAAGGGGCGCGAGGUAACUCUCUCCAAGGAACUCGGCAAAAUGACCCCGUAACUUAGGGAGAAGGGGUGCCACCGAGAGGUGGUCGCAGUGAAGAGGCCCAGGCGACUGUUUAGCAAAAACAUAGGUCUCUGCAAACUCGAAAGAGGAGGUAUAGGGGCUGACGCCUGCCCAGUGCCGGAAGGUUAAAGAAGUUGGUCAGUCUUAGGAUGAAGCUAGCGACUGAAGCCCCGGUGAACGGCGGCCGUAACUAUAACGGUCCUAAGGUAGCGAAAUUCCUUGUCGGGUAAGUUCCGACCCGCACGAAAGGCGUAACGAUCCGGGCGCUGUCUCGGAGAGAGGCUCGGCGAAAUAGGAUUGUCUGUGAAGAUACGGACUACCUGCAUUUGGACAGAAAGACCCUAUGAAGCUUUACUAUAGCUUGGAAUUGUGUUCGGGCUUCCUGUGCGCAGGAUAGGUGGGAGGCGUAGAAGGUAUUCUUGUGGGGAUACUGGAGCCAACGGUGAGAUACCACUCUCAGGAGGCUAGAAUUCUAACUUAAUUAAGGACAGUUUCAGGUGGGUAGUUUGACUGGGGCGGUCGCCUCCAAAAAGGUAACGGAGGCGUGCAAAGGUUCCCUCAGACUGGUUGGAAAUCAGUCGAAGAGUGCAAAGGCAGAAGGGAGCUUGACUGCGAGAAGUACAGUUCGAGCAGGGUGGAAACACGGUCUUAGUGAUCCGACGGUGCUGUGUGGAAGGGCCGUCGCUCAACGGAUAAAAGUUACUCUAGGAUAACAGGCUGAUCUCCCCCAAGAGUUCACAUCGACGGGGAGGUUUGGCACCUCGAUGUCGGCUCAUCGCAACCUGGGGCGGAAGUACGUCCCAAGGGUUGGGCUGUUCGCCCAUUAAAGCGGUACGUGAGCUGGGUUCAGAACGUCGUGAGACAGUUCGGUCCAUAUCCGAUGUAGGCGUGAGAAUAUUGAGAGGAGCCUUCCUUAGUACGAGAGGACCGGGAAGGACGCACCGCUGGUGUACCUGUUAUGAUGCCAAUUGUAAACGCAGGGUAGCCAAGUGCGGAGAGGAUAACCGCUGAAAGCAUCUAAGUGGGAAGCCCACCUCAAGAUGAGUAUUCUGGUGUAAGGUCACGGGAAGACGACCCGUAAAUAGGCACGAGGUGGAAGUGCAGAGAUGUAUGAAGCCGAAGUGUACUGAUAGACCGUCGGCUUGAC